CAAGAAAGUAAUUCUGAAAAGACAUUCGUUUUAGAUAUAUACGUAUUUCUAAAUUAUAUUUUUGGUCGGCCUAACGUAUAUUUAAGAGAAUUCAAUUUGUUGUUCUCCAAUGUCCCUAAACUUAUCCAUCAUAUUCAAUAGAGGGUUUUUGUUUUGUUUUGUAGCUGGCAUCACUUUUCUCUAUAAACUCAAAACUUGUCUCACACUCUCUCCGGCUCCUGCAACUCCAUCUGAAAACAGAACAGGAACUUGAUCGUCUCCAAUCAUCUCUAGUGCUUCUCACUUACACUCUCGGUACGAAGACACGUGUCUUCUCAAACCAAGAAAGAAGCUAUGUUCAAGCCCUUUGGUUUCGCAGGCUGAAAACCACCAAGAAAAAGAAGAACCUGGAAAUGUUUCUUCUAUAACUCGGUUCUUCGCUAUGUCUGGAGGAAAGCCGCGAUCAACGCGGUAUUCGCAGUUGUAAACGCUAGCACAGCUUACAUCGGACCAUAUCUCAUCAAUGACUUUGUAGAGUUUCUAAGUGAGAAACAAUCCCAGAGCUUAAACU